rnacentral:rRNA from 1 species
AGCAGUCGCCGCGGUAAUACGAAGGGGGCUAGCGUUGUUCGGAUUUACUGGGCGUAAAGCGCACGUAGGCGGACUUUUAAGUCAGGGGUGAAAUCCCGGGGCUCAACCCCGGAACUGCCUUUGAUACUGGAAGUCUUGAGUAUGGUAGAGGUGAGUGGAAUUCCGAGUGUAGAGGUGAAAUUCGUAGAUAUUCUGAGGAACACCAGUGGCGAAGGCGGCUCACUGGACCAUUACUGACGCUGAGGUGCGAAAGCGUGGGGAGCAAACAGGAUUAGAUACCCGCGUAGUCCCUGUCUCUUAUAC